rnacentral:rRNA from 1 species
UACAGAGGUCCCAAGCGUUUGUUCGGAUUUACUGGGCGUAAAGGGUGCGUAGGCGGUCGGGUAAGUCUGAUGUGAAAUCUCCGAGCUUAACUCGGAAAUGGCAUUGGAUACUAUUCGGCUGGAGAGUUGGAGGGGGGACUGGAAUACUUGGUGUAGCAGUGAAAUGCGUAGAUAUCAAGUGGAACACCAGUGGCGAAGGCGAGUCCCUGGACAACUUCUGACGCUGAGGCACGAAAGCUAGGGGAGCAAACAGG